rnacentral:sRNA from 1 species
UGUGUCAACGGUACCGGACCGAACCCGUAAGGGGGACGGGAGGAUAAGGAGUUGACACACUCUCUAUG